UACACUCCUGCGGGAGGCAGCAGUGGGGAAUUUUGGACAAUGGGCGAAAGCCUGAUCCAGCAAUGCCGCGUGAGUGAAGAAGGCCUUCGGGUUGUAAAGCUCUUUUGUCAGGGAAUAAACGGUGAAAGCUAAUAUCUUUUGCUAAUGACGGUACCUGAAGAAUAAGCACCGGCUAACUACGUGCCAGCAGCCGCGGUAAUACGUAGGGUGUAAGCGUUAAUCGGAAUUACUGGGCGUAAAGCGUGCGCAGGCGGUUUUGUAAGUCUGAUGUGAAAUCCCCGGGCUCAACCUGGGAAUUGCAUUGGAGACUGCAAGGCUAGAAUCUGGCAGAGGGGGGUAGAAUUCCACGUGUAGCAGUGAAAUGCGUAGAUAUGUGGAGGAACACCGAUGGCGAAGGCAGCCCCCUGGGUCAAGAUUGACGCUCAUGCACGAAAGCGUGGGGAGCAAACAGGAUUAGAUACCCCUGUAGUCCCAUGA
rnacentral:rRNA from 1 species